rfam:Triticum aestivum genome assembly, contig: Triticum_aestivum_CS42_TGACv1_scaffold_603154_7DL
UUAGUACUCCCUUCGUCUGAAAAAACUUGUCCGUCAAAUUGAUGUAUCUAGCACUAAGUUAGUGCUAGAUACAUCCAUUUGACGAACAAGCUUGGGACAUGUUUUUUCAGACGGAGGAAGUACUGU